rnacentral:rRNA from 1 species
CACCGCGGUUAUACGAGAGGCCCAAGUUGAAAGACAUCGGCGUAAAGAGUGGUUAAGUAAAAACCAAACUAAAGUCGAACAUCUUCAAGGCUGUUAUACGCAUCCGAAGACAAGAAGUUCAACCACGAAGGUGACUUUAUUCGUACUGAACCCACGAAAGCUAGGACA